UUCUGGAAGCUUAGGUCUGGUUAGUACUUGGAUGGGAGGCCACCAGGAAGACCUGGGAAUUCCAGGUA
rnacentral:rRNA from 1 species